CAAAAAAAAAUUAGACAUAAAUCAGCUAUUUAAUUUUAAUAUUUUCAAAAUCUUUUUCCAAAAACUAAAUUAAUGUCAUGUAACUAGUAAAAAUUUACUUAUGUUAUAUUUUUGUUUAUUUUUUAUUCACGAUAUUGUUAUCCACUUGUAUAAUUAUUCAGAUUAGUUUUAGAUAAUGAUAUAUUGAUAAAUAAUCUCUUAUCUCAUUAGAACUCAAUUAAAACUCUAUUAGUAUUAAUACAGAAAAAAUUUAUUUGUGACAGUUUCUCAUACAUUCUUCGAAUUCUUCUAUUAAAAUUAUUUGGAGAAUUUAUUUCAUCUGGUAUUGUAAAGAAGGUAUAUUAAAAAAAAAAAAGGACGAACAUAUGCUAUCUGUCGGGAAAUAUUCACCAAGAAGUUGGAACAACCGGGUCUUAGGUAGGUUUUAGGAAUUAUUUCUACUGACUAUUGUGAACACGAUGACGUGUAUAGAAAUUCACAGUAAAUAUAAAAGAAUUUGUUAUUAUAUAA